AUCCUGGCUCAGGAUGAACGCUAGCUACAGGCUUAACACAUGCAAGUCGAGGGGCAGCGGGAUUGAAGCUUGCUUCAAUUGCCGGCGACCGGCGCACGGGUGAGUAACGCGUAUCCAACCUUCCGUACACUCAGGGAUAGCCCUUUCGAAAGAAAGAUUAAUACCUGAUGGUAUGAUGAGAUCGCAUGGUAUCAUCAUUAAAGAUUUAUCGGUGUACGAUGGGGAUGCGUUCCAUUAGGUAGUAGGCGGGGUAACGGCCCACCUAGCCUACGAUGGAUAGGGGUUCUGAGAGGAAGGUCCCCCACAUUGGAACUGAGACACGGUCCAAACUCCUACGGGAGGCAGCAGUGAGGAAUAUUGGUCAAUGGACGAGAGUCUGAACCAGCCAAGUAGCGUGAAGGAUGAAGGUCCUACGGAUUGUAAACUUCUUUUAUAAGGGAAUAAAACCUCCCACGUGUGGGAGCUUGUAUGUACCUUAUGAAUAAGCAUCGGCUAACUCCGUG
rnacentral:rRNA from 1 species